UUUUUUUUCCAGUUUUUCCACUGCCAACCAAAUGUUUAAUUAAAUUGAAACCUUUUCUUUGCAAGUUAGAGAAUUAGUCCCUAGGGAAUACUUAUCACCUUGUUAGUACCAACUGUUCUUAUUUCCAUCUGAUUUUUUAAUCGAGCAAGAAAAAUACACUAAUAUGUGAUGAGCUGUACACAGCAUGGACUUUCUCCUAUGCAGCAUCACCAGGAGAGAGACAGCUUGUCCAUGGAGGCUUCAUACGUCUGCUGCAGAUUUCUGAUUUGAGCCUUAAUGUUGCUAUUCUCCAAGGUCACUUGCUUAACUCUCCUGACAGAGAAAUGGCUUCCACAACCCCAGAAUUUCUACCAACGGACACAGGUUUAUGGGCACCUUCUACCACCUCCUGAAGUCACCUACAACUUUAUAUUAGAAGAUCUGGAAACUCUGGUGUUGAACACACGUCCUAAUACCUGUGUCCUCUUUGUAGAUGACCAGUCUCUCAAGCUCCUCCACCCCUUAGCCUCCACUUUGGAGAAUAAGCCUCAUGCCUAAACCUAUUCAAAUCAGUAGAAAGGAUUGUCAAUGGUGGUAAAUAGAUAUUAAAGAAAAUACAGAAGCCUCUUGAAAGUUGGAAUCACAGAGCAUUGGAGACGCAAGGAGCCUUAGAAACCAUCUGGCCAACAACCCUCUCUCCAAGUCCCACUGGCUUUACAGAGACCGGUCUUGUGCUCAGAACCUAUAUCUGGACCAAGAGACCAGGGCUGUAGCCCCGGACUAGCUACACACUUUGUUCAAGUCAUUUCUGUUGACCUCCGUUUGUUUAUCCAUAAAACAAGGGGGUUGGAGAUCAUCUCAAUAGUGCCUUCCAGCUUUGACAUUCUAUAAAAUCAAACCAAGGAUCUGGUCUCAUCAGUAAUAAUGAAAAUGGGGUAGACUAGACGAUGGAAGAAAUAAGAAGGCAACUAUUUUCAGACUCAGUUGAGUUUCCUGGCCAUGAGAUGAUGUGUUUCUUUCCUCUGCUCCUCCCUCUUCCCCAGCCUCCACCCCCCUCUUUUUUUGUUUUUUUUUAAACAACAGUUUUUAAUCUUUUCAUUAUAAGGCUCCUCUGUCUACCCUGGAAUAAGAGACUAGACUGUAACUAGAAAUUAGUCAGGGUCCCUGGGUUAGGGGGGACCCUGUUCUCACAGUUGACCUCUGAAGUAAAUGCCUGGCAUGUCAGUGGUGUGGACAAAAAUGCUGCCUGCCGUGCCAGUAAACAAUGACUGUUGCCCACCAUCAAGUCAUCAGCCACCGCAGCCCCCACGACAGUGUGCCCUGAGGGGGAUUCAAGAUGGAAAAAAGCAGGAUACUAGCCCUAGAUAGUUAAGAUGCAGACCAAAGAAAUAAUUUCAAUGAGCCCAGACUCUUACAUCUUCUUAUACAUAGAAAAGCACUAAAAACAUUAACUGAAGAUGUCUGGUUUUUUUGUGAUUAACGUCAUCUUCUGAUGUUUGGCUACAUUUCUUUUAAGCGAAACUCCUAUCUAUCCCGGUUCCUCCCUCACCCCUUUGGAGCAGUUCAUCAGAGCUGUCCGAGAGGCUGAUUUCCAGGCUAUAGGCCUCAGUAAGGUCCCCGAAUAAAACAGAACUCUGAACUUUUAGGUUGUAUGGGGUUUUUUUUUAAUCAACAGUGGGGUGGCAAAUCAGAAGUAUGAUGGGGAAGAAAACCCAGAUACCAACCAGAUCUGAACUCAGGUGAGAUACAGCAUUUCCUGGUUGGACGGUAGUGAGAUGUCUGAGAGGGAAGGAAAGGGAGCCUGGGUGAGCCCCCUUGAUAGCAGGAGGAAGGGAAAAUAAAGGCUCCUGAAUAAACCAGACCCAAAGUAGGGCUUGGCCUGAGGCCAGGGGAAAGCUGCCAGGUACUAUGGGAGAGCCAGGAAAAGGGUGGGACUCAGAGGCCCCACCAGAAAUGGGCCUCCCAGACAAAUCCAAACACGGGGCCCACCCAGGCCCACUGCGUGACCGUGGCCUAGCUUUGCUGUUGGCACUACUGCCCGAACAGCUGUUAGUAGAGAAUACUAGAUCCUAAGGGAAGUGGAUAAUCCCAACAUGAAAAUUUGUUUGCUUAUCUAGCGAAUUAUUUAUAGAGAACCAGAAAGGAUGUGAAAUAGCUUGUGUGAACUUUCAAGAGGAAGGUAAAGAGAUAAGAGUCAAAUAAAGUUGGAAGGGGACAGACAUUAUUAUUUGCACAUUUGGAAACUAAAGCUAAGGGAAGCUGCUUCUGGUGAAUAUAAUGCUUUACUCUGAACAUUUUCAAGUUAAUUUGCAUGUUACGCGGUGGGGGGCGGGGGUCAGUCGGAAGAUUAAAAAUGGGCAGCAUAUGAGGGGUUAACUCCUAGCAAAUGAAACUAAUCAAGAGGAAAAACCCCCUUGACGUGUGGUGACCACACACAUUUGCACAAAUGUGGGAUCCUGACUCUUUUGGCUUCCCUGCCUGGUACUACAAGAUAUUCUUUGGAAGGCACGUGAUUUCUUUCAAAGCAAAAUAAUUUCUAGGGACUUCCCUGGCGGUCCAGUGGUUAAGACUCCGUGCUUCCAACGCAGGGGGUGCAGGUUCGAUCCCUGACUGGGGAACUAAGAUCCCACAUGCCUCGCGGCCAAACAAUAGUAACAAUAAUAAUUUCUAAAUUAGGAGAAAGUACCUAACAGCCUCUGGGAGUUACUUGUCAUGAAUGAACACAGAUUUCCUUUGCUUAAGUCUGGCUUUCCUGUGGUUGGUGGAACUUCUCGUAACACUGGGGCUUAAGGGAGUGGGCUGAUGUGCUGUUUUAGGCACUGACACUUAGAACCACUUGGGUGUCUAGUGGAACAAGUGACAUCUCUAGCACUGAACUCAGUAUCUAACCCCCCAUUUUAAUAAGCGCAAAAACAACUGCAACUCCAAGGUUGAGAGUCUCAGCUUGGAAGCAUUUCCAUCGGCUUCCUUCCUUCACCGUCUCCCUGGCCUGGCCUCUACUGUGGCUGUGUGUAGAGGAUUGCAAAUAAUGAGCUGAAGACAUUCUGUGACUUACUUUUCUACAAAGACACAGGGCCCACCCUUGGCUAAGCUCUCCUGCACUGGAACAGAGGAGACCCAGGCGAAUCGGGAGCAGAUGAAUACCUGCAGGCCGAU